rnacentral:rRNA from 1 species
GACGAACGCUGGCGGCGUGCCUAAUACAUGCAAGUCGAACGAACCGCGACUAGGUGCUUGCACUUGGUCAAGGUGAGUGGCGAACGGGUGAGUAACACGUGGGUAACCUACCUCAUAGUGGGGGAUAACAGUCGGAAACGACUGCUAAUACCGCAUAGGACAUAGGAUCACAUGAUCCAGUGAGGAAAGGUGGCGCAAGCUAUCGCUAAGAGAUGGACCCGCGGUGCAUUAGCUAGUUGGUAGGGUAAAGGCCUACCAAGGCGAUGAUGCAUAGCCGACCCGAGAGGGUGAUCGGCCACAUUGGGACUGAGACACGGCCCAAACUCCUACGGGAGGCAGCAGUAGGGAAUCUUCCGCAAUGGACGCAAGUCUGACGGAGCAACGCCGCGUGAGUGAAGAAGGUCUUCGGAUCGUAAAGCUCUGUUGUUAGAGAAGAACAGCGCAUAGAGUAACUGUUAUGCGUGUGACGGUAUCUAACCAGAAAGCCACGGCUAACUACGUG